CUUGUUUCCUCGCGCAGCCUCACUCAGUAACGAAGCCGGCAGACAGGUGUGUGAAGCCGAGCAACUCAGGGCGACACGGACACACAAACACCAUGUUACCCCAGCCUAGAGGAGGAGCCCCUUCAAGGUGUCUGUAACUCGCCGCAGGCGGACAGGGAGUGAGAAAUGCGGGCGUACAGUGUGAAGGCACCAAGCUGCUGUGUUUGUCUUCACUGUCAACAACAACAACAACAACAACAACAACAAGAGUCCUGCUGCAGCUCCGCUCACGGCUGGUGUCGGUUCAUUUAACGGCGCUGCGCGGAGGAAAUCACUGGGACUAUGUGAGCAUCAUGCUCGCGGUGAGAUGCCUGCUGUUCGCUGCAGUCUACGCACGGUACGCCGAGACAGCUCUGAGAGAAUGGGGGAGUCCGGAGGGAAGGCUGCCGCCCGCGGAGGAGGUCGUUCAGCCCAAGCGACUCCUGCAGCAGAUCCACACUGAGGAGGAGCUCCUGCACAGCCGGCUGGACACCCGGGUCAAGAACCACCCAGCCGGUGAGCAGCCCAUCCAUUUGGCCCAGAGCAGCUUCUUGGUGAAAGCCUUUGGUACAUCC
rnacentral:lncRNA from 1 species